rnacentral:rRNA from 1 species
AAUCAACGCUGGCGGCGCGCCUAACACAUGCAAGUCGAACGGGAAAGGGGAGCAAUCCCUGAGUAUAGUGGCGUACGGGUGAGUAACACGUGGGUAAUCUACCUUUUAGUGUGGAAUAACCCUGGGAAACCGGGGCUAAUACCGCAUAAUCCCGAGAGGGGAAAGUCGCAAGACGCUGAAAGAGGAGCCCGCGGCCGAUUAGCCAGUUGGCGGGGUAAAAGCCCACCAAAGCAUAGAUCGGUAGCCGGCCUGAGAGGGCACACGGCCACACUGGCACUGAAACACGGGCCAGACUCCUACGGGAGGCAGCAGUGGGGAAUCUUGCACAAUGGGGGAAACCCUGAUGCAGCGACGCCGCGUGAGCGAUGAAGCCCUUCGGGGCGUAAAGCUCUUUCGGCAGGGAAGAUUAUGACGGUACCUGCAGAAGCAGCUGCGGCUAACUACGUGCCAGCAGCCGCGGUAAUACGUAGGCAGCGAGCGUUGUUCGGAGUUACUGGGCGUAAAGGGUGUGUAGGCGGUUAUUUAAGUUUGGUGUGAAAUCUCCCGGCUUAGCCGGGAGGGUGCGCCGAAUACUGAGUGACUAGAGUGCGGGAGAGGAGAGUGGAAUUCCUGGUGUAGCGGUGAAAUGCGUAGAUAUCAGGAGGAACACCGGCGGUGUAGACGGCUCUCUGGACCGCGACUGGCGCUGAGACACGAAAGCGUGGGUAGCAAACAGGAUUAGAUACCCUGGUAGUCCACGCCCUAAACGAUGCAUAUUUGGUGUGGGCAGUUCAUUCUGUCCGUGCCGGAGCUAACGCGUUAAAUAUGCCGCCUGGGGAGUACAGUCGCAAGGCUG